UACGUAGGGUGCGAGCGUUGUCCGGAAUUAUUGGGCGUAAAGGGCUCGUAGGCGGUUUGUCGCGUCGGGAGUGAAAACUCAGGGCUUAACCCUGAGCCUGCUUCCGAUACGGGCAGACUAGAGGUAUGCAGGGGAGAACGGAAUUCCUGGUGUAGCGGUGAAAUGCGCAGAUAUCAGGAAGAACACCGAUGGCGAAGGCAGUUCUCUGGGACGGUACUGACGCUGAGACGCGAAAGCGUGGGAGCGAACAGG
rnacentral:rRNA from 1 species